CAGGAAUGCAGGGGCGCCUAUGGCAGGCCGGACUCCAGGUCAGGCCUUGGGGCAGUGAGGAAGAAGGUGCAUGCCAGGAGCUGCCUACGCGUUCUGGAAGAAUUCACAUGCUGAUUUGUAGGCGGCCUGGCCAGGUGCUUCGGAGACUCCAGCAGCAUCGAAGCUCAGAUACUCUGGGGGAAGCCAGUCACUAUUCCACGAGGAAGUUCAACUACCCCACGGAGAAGCUCAUGUAAAGAGGAACUGAGGCCACCAGCCAACAGCUGCAUGAAUGAGCCACCUUAGAAGCGAUCCUCCAGCCCCAGUCAAGCCUUCAGAUGACUGCAGCUCUGACCACCAUCUCACUGCAGCCUCAUGAGAGACCUCAGGCCAGAACCACCCAGCCAAACCACUCUUGAAUUCCUGACCCACC
rnacentral:lncRNA from 10 species